rnacentral:lncRNA from 1 species
AAUUGAAUCAUCAAAGUAAAGUCUUCAAAUUCGCUAAGUCAAGUUAAGGCCUUCAAAUUAGCCAGAAGUUGAAGUCCCCAAUUCUGCAGAACUGUCAAGUUGAAUCAUCAAGUUAAAGUCUUCAAAUCUACUAAAUCUUCAAGAGAAGUCUUCAGAUAUGUCAAAUCUUCAUGUAGAAGCCUACAAGUCUGCCAUAUCUUCAAGUUGAAAUGUAAAGACAAAAGAUUCUUCGAUUGUGAGGUUAACUUUACUAAAGUAGUAUCUUUGGAAUUGAUUUUUUCUUCUACCUGCCAAAAAAAAAGUAAAAACAUAUCUAUAUAAAGGAGAUCACAAAUUUACCUGCGAAGAUUGAAGUUGAAGAGAUAUUCUUGGUGGUUAGCUUUUGAAAGAAUAAAAUCAUGCUUUAUACAAUCUUUGAUUGAUGUAUCUCGAAAUGAGGACGCGCUUUCAUUCCUUUACGCCAAAAGGUCAAAUCUUUUGGUGGUGAAGUAAAAUCUUCAAGUUAGAUUGUAUAAUAGACUUUGCUUGUCUUCGCCUUGGACAAAGUAUAGUCUUCAGCUUAGACAGUGUAAUGGUCCUAGCCUCGGACAAAGUAAAGUCUUCAGCUUGGAUGGUUGUCUUCGCCUUUGCAAAAUAAAUCAUUAGCUCAAACGGUGUAAUGGUCUUCGCUUCAAAAAAAAUCUUUGGCUUAGGCGGUGUAAUGGUCUAUGUCUUAGAUAAAAUGACGUUAAAUCUUAAAACAAGAUGAAGUCAUUAGCUUAGACGGUGUAAUGGUCUUCGCUUAAGACAAAAUAAAUCUUUGGCCCAGACGCUGUAAUGUUCUAUCCCUUAGAUAAAAUGAAGUUAAAUCUUAAAACAAGAUGAAGUCAUUAGCUUAGACGGUGUAAUGGUCUUCGCUUCAGAAAAAAUAGAUCUUUGGCCCAGACGGUGUAAUGGUCUAUGCCCUAGAUAAAAUGAAGUUAAACAAGAUGAAGUCAUUAGCUCAGACGGUGUAAUGGUCUUCGCUUCAGAUAAUAAAUCUUUGGCAUAAACGAUGUGAUGUUCUUUGCCUAAGAUAAAAUAAAUCUUUAGCUUAGACUGUUAACGGUUAAUGAGUACUCAUCCCCUCACACCCCAAGAAUGACUUCUUCAUGCAUGGAUUCCCUCGUUGAGCAAGAACAUAUUUUUCUCGCUUGACCACAAAAAAAGAAAAAAGGACAACAAAGAAGAAAAACACAUGAAGAGCAAAAGAAAUUACCUUUGCAUCAAUGCUUCCGAGUCCACGAAACUAUAGUCAAAUAGCUUGCAAACAUGAGAAUUGAUACUGAACAAAGAUGUGCGCGUGUGUUUAUAUAGAGAUCUCAAGCCGCUGUUGGAGAAUUAUUUCCCGACGUGGGACUACUGGUAUUGUCAAACUCCAACAAGGAUUUAAAGUGUACGAGCUAAUAUCCUAAUUGAAGUCGGUUACCAUGAGUCGGCGUGUGUUUCAAAAGGGCGCAUUCCUAAUGAAGUAAGAAGACAUAACUUAGCAAUUGUCUACGUGGAAAGAAUUUCUUCCUUUGUAGAAAACAUAAAGUGAAAGUGUAAGUGCCUCGUUACUGCAUGUGAAUGAAGAAAGCAAAUUAAUUCUUCAUCUGAAUUUUGAACGCAAAGAAUGAAGUCGCGUGCAGAUCUUUUGAAAUCAAUGAGCACAACUGGAAAUUUCCUUUAAUUUGACAAUAAGUCAUAUUUAAGCUACAAG